rnacentral:rRNA from 1 species
CAUACCUAUUCGAAGGGAUAGGGUCGGUUCGGCCGGAUUUUACACAAGUGUUGCAUGGCUGUCGUCAGCUCGUGUCGUGAGAUGUUGGGUUAAGUCCCGCAACGAGCGCAACCCCCAUCCUUAGUUGCUAUCAGGUAAUGCUGAGUACUUUAAGGAAACUGCCAGUGAUAAGCUGGAGGAAGGUGGGGAUGAUGUCAAGUCAUCAUGGCCUUUAUGGAGUGGGCUACACACGUGCUACAAUGGUGUCUACAAUGGGCUGCAAGGUGCGCAAGCCUAAGCUAAUCCCUAAAAGACAUCUCAGUUCGGAUUGUACUCUGCAACUCGAGUACAUGAAGUUGGAAUCGCUAGUAAUCGUGGAUCAGCAUGCCACGGUGAAUACGUUCUCGGGUCUUGUACACACUGCCCGUCACGCCAUGGGAAUUGGUUUCACUCGAAGCU